rnacentral:rRNA from 1 species
GUAGGCAUCCUACGGGAGGCAGCAGUGGGGAAUAUUGCACAAUGGGCGCAAGCCUGAUGCAGCCAUGCCGCGUGUAUGAAGAAGGCCUUCGGGUUGUAAAGUACUUUCAGCAGUGAGGAAGGUGGAUAUGUUAAUAGCAUAUUCAUUUGACGUUAGCUGCAGAAGAAGCACCGGCUAACUCCGUGCCAGCAGCCGCGGUAAUACGGAGGGUGCGAGCGUUAAUCGGAAUUACUGGGCGUAAAGCGCAUGCAGGUGGUUUGUUAAGUCAGAUGUGAAAGCCCGGGGCUCAACCUCGGAAUUGCAUUUGAAACUGGCAAACUAGAGUACUGUAGAGGGGGUAGAAUUUCAGGUGUAGCGGUGAAAUGCGUAGAGAUCUGAAGGAAUACCGGUGGCGAAGGCGGCCCCCUGGACAGAUACUGACACUCAGAUGCGAAAGCGUGGGGAGCAAACAGGAUUAGAUACCCUGGUAG